rnacentral:rRNA from 1 species
UACGUAGGGGGCGAGCGUUAUCCGGAUUUACUGGGCGUAAAGCGCGUUAAGGCGGUCGGCAAAGUUGGUUGUGAAAUCUCAGGGCUCAACCCUGAAAUUGCGACCAAUACUGGUCGACUAGAGUGCAAGAGAGGAAGGUGGAAUUCCCGGUGUAGUGGUGAAAUGCGUAGAGAUCGGGAGGAACACCUGUGGCGAAGGCGGCCCCCUGGGCCGGCCCUGACACUGAGACGCGAAGGCGUGGGGAGCAACAGG